AAUUAGAACCGUUGUUUUCCUCAUUUGUCUCAGCCAUCUAACCGUGAGGGAAAAACUGAGAGAGAUUAGAGAAAGAGAACACAUUGUGUUCUUGUAGUGCACGACCACUUCGGGUCCAAGAAGAAGAAGAAGGUAAGAAGAAAGCAAGAGAAAGAAGGGAGUGUUAAUGGAAGUUCGGUACAAGAAUAGUCAGAAGAAAAACCGUUGUGGACUAAGUUGAGGAGAAGAAGGAACCAUCAAUAACCGGCCACAGUAAGAGGUACAAAUUCAUAGAUUUCCUUCGUAGUUUACGGUUCCGAUUUUUCGUUUUCAUUUCUUAGGAUG